rnacentral:rRNA from 1 species
AUAGUUUGAUUCUGGCUCAGGAUGAACGCUACGCGGGAGGCUUACACACAUGCAAGCCGAGGGGUAGAGUUAGCUUGCUAACUUGAGACCGGCGCACGGGUGCGUAACGCGUAUGCAACUUGCCCUACUGAAGAGGAUAGCCCAGAGAAAUUUGGAUUAAUACUUUAUAAUAGACUGAAUGGCGUCAUUUAGUUUUGAAAGAUUUAUCGCAGUAGGAUAGGCAUGCGUAAGAUUAGUUAGUUGGUAAGGUAACGGCUUACCAAGACGAUGAUCUUUAGGGGGCCUGAGAGGGUGAACCCCCACACUGGUACUGAGACACGGACCAGACUCCUACGGGAGGCAGCAGUGAGGAAUAUUGGACAAUGGGUGGAAGCCUGAUCCUGCCAUCCCGCGUGUUAGGAUGACGGCCUUAUGGGUUGUAAACUACUUUUAUCUGGGGAUAAACCUACUUACGUGUAAGUAGCUGAAGGUACCAGAAGAAUAAGCACCGGCUAACUCCGUGCCAGCAGCCUCGGUAAUACGGAGGGUGCAAGCGUUAUCCGGAUUUAUUGGGUUUAAAGGGUCCGUAGGCGGAUUAAUCAGUCAGUGGUGAAAUCCCUUAGCUUAACUAAGGAACUGCCAUUGAUACUGUUAGUCUUGAGUGAGGUUGCAGUGGCUGGAAUGUGUAGUGUAGCGGUGAAAUGCUUAGAUAUUACGCAGAACACCAAUUGCGAAGGCAGGUCACUAAGCCUCAACUGACGCUGAUGGACGAAAGCGUGGGGAGCGAACAGGAUUAGAUACCCUUGUAGUCCACGCCGUAAACGAUGGAUACUUGCUGUUGGAUUUUCGGAUUCAGUUGCUAAGCGAAAGUUAAGUAUCCCCUGGAGUACGUUCGCAGAAUGACUCAAAUGA